AUACUAACUUCGGCAGUCCAUAUACUAAAAUUGGAACGAUACAGAGAAGAUUAGCAUGGCCCCUGCGCAAGGAUGACACGCAAAAUCGUGAAGCGUUCCACAUUUUU
rnacentral:snRNA from 1 species